CAGUAGCCGCGGGAAUACGAAGGGGGCUAGCGUUGUUCGGAAUUACUGGGCGUAAAGCGCACGUAGGCGGAUUGUUAAGUUAGGGGUGAAAUCCCAGGGCUCAACCCUGGAACUGCCUUUAAUACUGGCAAUCUAGAGUCCGAGAGAGGUGAGUGGAAUUCCGAGUGUAGAGGUGAAAUUCGUAGAUAUUCGGAGGAACACCAGUGGCGAAGGCGGCUCACUGGCUCGGUACUGACGCUGAGGUGCGAAAGCGUGGGGAGCAAACAGGAUUAGAUACCCGGGUAGUCCCUGUCUCUUAUAC
rnacentral:rRNA from 1 species